CGGGGCUUCAGGCCACGCCCACAGGCGCGGCUGGGCUCGGAGCCCCCUCCCGGCUCCACAUCUGGGUGGGCUCCGAUCCCAGUGCGGACACAUCUGGAUGGUCCCAGUGACCAUCCUUGGAUUCUCGGCCUUGGCACUCCCAAAAAUUUGUGGAUGACGAAGCCAUGGGGAUGUCAAAAGCCAUUGAGGUGAAGAGCAGCAGCAGGAAGCGGAAGAAUGAGUUGGAAAAGGGGCAGGACAAGCCAAAGGCGCUCCCAGUGAAGAAGAAGAAGCUGGAAUGCGCAG